rnacentral:rRNA from 1 species
UACGUAGGGUGCGAGCGUUAAUCGGAAUUACUGGGCGUAAAGCGUGCGCAGGCGGUUCGUUAUGUCCGAUGUGAAAGCCCCGAGCUCAACUUGGGGAAUGGCAUUGGAAACUGGCGGGCUGGAGUGGUGGCAGAGGGGGGGUGGAAUUCCGACGUGUAGCAGUGAAAUGCGUAGAGAUGUGGAGGAACACCGAUGGCGAAGGCAGCCCCCUGGGUCAAGACUGACGCUCAUGCACGAAAGCGUGGGGAGCAAACAGG